UAGGGAAUCUUCGGCAAUGGACGGAAGUCUGACCGAGCAACGCCGCGUGAGUGAAGAAGGUUUUCGGAUCGUAAAGCUCUGUUGUAAGAGAAGAACGAGUGUGAGAGUGGAAAGUUCACACUGUGACGGUAACUUACCAGAAAGGGACGGCUAACUACGUGCCAGCAGCCGCGGUAAUACGUAGGUCCCGAGCGUUAUCCGGAUUUAUUGGGCGUAAAGCGAGCGCAGGCGGUUAGAUAAGUCUGAAGUUAAAGGCUGUGGCUUAACCAUAGUACGCUUUGGAAACUGUUUAACUUGAGUGCAGAAGGGGAGAGUGGAAUUCCAUGUGUAGCGGUGAAAUGCGUAGAUAUAUGGAGGAACACCGGUGGCGAAAGCGGCUCUCUGGCUUGUAACUGACGCUGAGGCUCGAAAGCGUGGGGAGCAAACAGGAUUAGAUACCCUGGUAGUCCACGCCGUAAACGAUGAGUGCUAGGUGUUAGACCCUUUCCGGGGUUUAGUGCCGUAGCUAACGCAUUAAGCACUCCGCCUGGGGAGUACGACCGCAAGGUU
rnacentral:rRNA from 1 species